rnacentral:rRNA from 1 species
CAGCAGCCGCGGUAAUACGAAGGGGGCUAGCGUUGCUCGGAAUCACUGGGCGUAAAGGGUGCGUAGGCGGGUCUUUAAGUCAGGGGUGAAAUCCUGGAGCUCAACUCCAGAACUGCCUUUGAUACUGAAGAUCUUGAGUUCGGGAGAGGUGAGUGGAACUGCGAGUGUAGAGGUGAAAUUCGUAGAUAUUCGCAAGAACACCAGUGGCGAAGGCGGCUCACUGGCCCGAUACUGACGCUGAGGCACGAAAGCGUGGGGAGCAAACAGGAUUAGAUACCCGAGUAGUCCCUGUCUCUUAUAC